UACAGAGGUCCCAAGCGUUGUUCGGAUUCACUGGGCGUAAAGGGUGCGUAGGUGGUGAGGUAAGUCGGAUGUGAAAUCUCCAAGCUCAACUUGGAAACUGCAUUGGAAACUACCUUGCUAGAGGAUUUGAGGGGGGAUUGGAAUACUUGGUGUAGCAGUGAAAUGCGUAGAUAUCUGGAGGAACACCGGUGGCGAAGGCGGCAUCCUGGACCAACACUGACGCUGAGGAGCGAAAGCCAGGGGAGCAAACGGG
rnacentral:rRNA from 1 species